GACGAACGCUGGCGGCGUGCUUAACACAUGCAAGUCGAACGGAAAGGCCCUGCUUUUGUGGGGUGCUCGAGUGGCGAACGGGUGAGUAACACGUGAGUAACCUGCCCUUGACUUUGGGAUAACUUCAGGAAACUGGGGCUAAUACCGGAUAGGAGCUCCUGCUGCAUGGUGGGGGUUGGAAAGUUUCGGCGGUUGGGGAUGGACUCGCGGCUUAUCAGCUUGUUGGUGGGGUAGUGGCUUACCAAGGCUUUGACGGGUAGCCGGCCUGAGAGGGUGACCGGCCACAUUGGGACUGAGAUACGGCCCAGACUCCUACGGGAGGCAGCAGUGGGGAAUAUUGCACAAUGGGCGGAAGCCUGAUGCAGCAACGCCGCGUGCGGGACGACGGCCUUCGGGGUGUAAACCGCUUUCGCCUGUGACGAAGCGUGAGUGACGGUAAUGGGUAAAGAAGCACCGGCUAACUACGUG
rnacentral:rRNA from 1 species